GCCACGGUGGUCUAGCGGUUAGAACGCUGGCCUUGUCAUCCUGGGGUCUCGGGUUCGAUUCCCGGCGGUGCCG
rnacentral:tRNA from 1 species